rnacentral:lncRNA from 1 species
CAUAUUUUGGCUUUCAAAGUAUUUCACCAAAUGAGCUGGGAGGAGGCUGUUGCUAGAAUGUGGGUGCCUGGUUACUGGGUUCCAAGUUCUGUUUGGCUCUAUGACCAAGGAAGGGAGAGGCCAUGUCUUGGGGUUCCUGGCCUAACCCAUCCUCCAGAUAAGCCCAUGUUUGUCCCUCUGUUGGCUCUCCUCCAGCCCCAUGACUUUUUAUGUGUGUACACAGCCAACCCCAACACUGGCCCCAUAUCCCUUGACAGGCGUGGGUGCACCAGGGUCCCAGCUCUGAGGAGACACAGCUAGGUUUCAACCCAGCUCCUCCUCCUGUCCUCUCAUGGGACUUUGGACAAGUCAUCAUGUCUCUAAGGCUUAACCAGUGUUCCCCUGCACAGUGGUAUCAUCCUAGAAUCUACUUCCUAGCAAUAUCACCAGGCAUGUGUGAGAUGACACAAACCAUGUUGUCACAUGUCUAUAAUGCACAAAAGUAGAGCGAAAAUAUGGAAACAGGUAAACUGUCACAUAGAGUAGAGCCAAGAACAGGCCUAGUCUCCCACCUCAUGACUUUGAAAAUGCUGUUUUCCUUCCUGGCCUUCUUUCUCCGUCUGCAUCUUGAGGGAUUUGAAAUGCGAUUAGUGGGGAUGUCCUCACCUCCCAGAGCCACCCACUUUGUUACCUUGUUCUCUUUGGGAUGACUGAGAGUACGCACAUCCCUGGGCACCUUAGGGACCCCCAACAAUGAAAUUCUGGCCUUUUCCCCCUUUCCCUUCUCUGUGUCCCAGUCAGGGUACAUGGAGACGGACUGCCCUUAUUUCAUGGAAGUGCUGUCUCUCUCUUCUUUCUUCUUUUGUUUUUUGGUCUCAGGGAGUGAUCCCAGGGGCGCUUAACCCCUAAGCCACAUCACCAACCUGGUUUUCUGUGUUUUAUUUUGAGGCAGGUUGUCACAGCGUGGCUGAGGUUAACUUUGAACUUGUGAUCCUCCUUCCUCAGCCUCCCAAGCUGCUGGUAUCACAGACGUGCACCACCAUGCCUGGCCUCUUUCUCCUUUUGCAUGUCACCUCAUGGGGCCUCCAUUUUCUCUAACCUACUCUCUGAUCUCCACGUGUUUGCCUCUCUGUUUUUGUACCUAUUGGGAGGCUGAAAAAAAUACUGUCACAUGGCAAAGGCAGGCAGGUGUCCCCAGGAUCAUAGAAGUUCUUAAUCCAGAGGAAACACUAUGGGAGAUGACUGAGCCCUGAGCUAGGAAGUGAGGACUCUGCCUUUUCCUCUGGAGUCUGUCCUUGUCCUAGUGUCUGGGCCAGUCCCUAUGUGACACUGGGCCUCAGUUUCCCACUUGUCCAGUGAAGGGUUAGAGAGGAAGUGACACAUAGGCCUUCUGGACACAUAGGCCUUCUGCUGCAUAGUUCCCCAGGCUGGGCAGUGUUGGGCAGGGUGGUGCUGCAGAAUCCCAGGUUACUGUUUUCCCAGGUAGGUGCAGGUGUGCCCUGCUUGGUGCAGCCUGGCCUUGUGUUCCCAGCAUGUAUGUGCUUCCAUUGGCACAGGCAUGGAAACAGUGCCACGCACCACAUACCUGGGUCUCUCAUCCUUCCUCAAAUGUGAGAUCCUUUUGUCUCAUCUCCCCAGAGUCAGAAAGUGUAAUUAGCCUGUCUUCACUGCAUGGAUGUGGGGGGAGGAGUGGAUCCCCAAAGCGAAUGUGAGGUGCCAUGACUAACAGAAGUGGGCUUGGUUGGGAGUCUGGUGAAGGCACCAGAUCCACACAAAUGUCUGUGACACUCUUGGUCCUGCCUCCUGAUCAGACAGGAAUAGGUAUGUCCUAGAGGAGGGAAGGGUCUGGCCUGAGUUCACACGGUGAGUUAAGUAGAUGCUGUGGCCUCAGUUGGGAGUCGAUUUGCUCCCCCACUGCAGAAUACCCAGCAUCAUGUUAGUUGGCCAUUUGAUUUUUUUCUUUUAAGGAAUCUCCCUUUAGAUUUUUUUAUGACCAUUUAUUUGGCUCAUUAAGGUUUUCCAAUUGUUAGCGUAUAAUAUUUAUGUAAUAUUUCUGAUUAUUCAUACCCUGUUGGAAGUGUAUCUGACAUACAUUUUCUCUGAUUCUGUAGGCUCUCUUUUACACUCUUAAUUGUUUUCUCUCCUGUACAGAAUAUUUUACUUUGAUGCUUUCACACUUAUUCUCACUUUUAUUUCAUGAGUUUUAAGGAUCUCAUCAAGGUCAGGUAUCAUGAUACAUGCCCAUAAACCCAGCAAUUUGGGAGACUGAGGUAGGAGGAUUGCAAGUUCUAGUUCAUCUUGGUGACUUAGAACUGUUUCAAAAUACAAAAUUGAAAAAGUGGCUGGGGACAGAUCAGUGGUAUAGCACUGAGGAACCCUCACCCUCUCUCCUCCAAAGAAAAAGAUUCCAAAGCAGCAGCU